GACAGAGGGUGCAAACGUUGUUCGGAAUUACUGGGCGUAAAGCGCACGUAGGCGGUUUGUUAAGUCGGAUGUGAAAUCCCUCGGCUCAACUGAAGAAGUGCAUCCGAAACUGGCAGGCUUGAGUACUGAAAGAGGGUCGCGGAAUUCCCGGUGUAGAGGUGAAAUUCGUAGAUAUCGGGAGGAACACCGGUGGCGAAGGCGGCGACCUGGGUAGAUACUGACGCUGAGGUGCGAAAGCGUGGGAGCAACAGG
rnacentral:rRNA from 1 species